rnacentral:rRNA from 1 species
GACGGACGCUGGCGGCGUGCUUAACACAUGCAAGUCGAACGGAAAGGCCCCAGCUUGCUGGGGUACUCGAGUGGCGAACGGGUGAGUAACACGUGGGUGAUCUGCCCUGCACUCUGGGAUAAGCCUGGGAAACUGGGUCUAAUACCGGAUAGGACCGUGCUUUAGUGUGUGCGGUGGAAAGUUUUUCGGUGCAGGAUGAGCCCGCGGCCUAUCAGCUUGUUGGUGGGGUAAUGGCCUACCAAGGCGGCGACGGGUAGCCGGCCUGAGAGGGUGUACGGCCACAUUGGGACUGAUACACGGCCCAGACUCCUACGGGAGGCAGCAGUGGGGAAUAUUGCACAAUGGGCGCAAGCCUGAUGCAGCGACGCCGCGUGGGGGAUGACGGCCUUCGGGUUGUAAACCCCUUUCGGCAGGGACGAAGCUUUUGUGACGGUACCUGCAUAAGAAGCACCGGCUAACUACGU